rfam:Myotis lucifugus cont2.20098, whole genome shotgun sequence.
AGCCCUGCUCUGGGGAGGUGCCAUUCUGAGGGCCAGGAGUUUGAUUAUGUGUCACUCUGGCUGCUAUGGCCCCCUCCCAGGGUCUGGGC